rnacentral:rRNA from 1 species
GGCUACGGCCAUACCACCCUGAACACGCCGAUCUCGUCCGAUUGGAAGCUAAGCAGGGUCGGGCCUGGUUAGUACUUGGAUGGGAGACCGCCUGGAAAUACCAGGUGCUGUAAGCU